rnacentral:rRNA from 1 species
ACACAUGCAAGUCGAACGGGAAAUAUUCAUUGAGACUUCGGUGGAUUUGAUCUAUUUCUAGUGGCGGACGGGUGAGUAACGCGUGGGUAACCUGCCUUAUACAGGGGGAUAACAGUCAGAAAUGGCUGCUAAUACCGCAUAAGCGCACAGAGCUGCAUGGCUCAGUGUGAAAAACUCCGGUGGUAUAAGAUGGACCCGCGUUGGAUUAGCUAGUUGGUGGGGUAACGGCCCACCAAGGCGACGAUCCAUAGCCGGCCUGAGAGGGUGAACGGCCACAUUGGGACUGAGACACGGCCCAGACUCCUACGGGAGGCAGCAGUGGGGAAUAUUGCACAAUGGGGGAAACCCUGAUGCAGCGACGCCGCGUGAAGGAAGAAGUAUCUCGGUAUGUAAACUUCUAUCAGCAGGGAAGAUAGUGACGGUACCUGACUAAGAAGCCCCGGCUAACUACGUGCCAGCAGCCGCGGUAAUACGUAGGGGGCAAGCGUUAUCCGGAUUUACUGGGUGUAAAGGGAGCGUAGACGGUGUGGCAAGUCUGAUGUGAAAGGCAUGGGCUCAACCUGUGGACUGCAUUGGAAACUGUCAUACUUGAGUGCCGGAGGGGUAAGCGGAAUUCCUAGUGUAGCGGUGAAAUGCGUAGAUAUUAGGAG